rnacentral:rRNA from 1 species
CGUGUAGGCGGUUUGUUAAGUCGAAUGUGAAAGCCCUGGGCUUAACCCAGGAAGUGCAUUCGAAACUGGCAUACUAGAGUACAGGAGAGGAUAGCGGAAUUCCCGGUGUAGAGGUGAAAUUCGUAGAUAUCGGGAGGAACACCAGUGGCGAAGGCGGCUAUCUGGACUGAUACUGACGCUGAGACGCGAAAGCGUGGGGAGCAAACA